GACGAACGCUGGCGGCGCGCUUAACACAUGCAAGUCGAGCGAGAACCUGGGCUUCGGCCCAGGGGACAGCGGCGAACGGGUGAGUAACACGUGGGUAAUCUGCCCUCGGCAUCGGGAUAGCCCGGGGAAACCCGGAUUAAUACCGAAUAGCCUCCGGAGCCUUCGGGCGCCGGAGAAAAGGUAGCUUCGGCCUCUGGCCGAGGAUGUGCCCGCUGAGGAGUAGCUUGUUGGUGGGGUAACGGCCCACCAAGGCGACGAUCCGUAGCUGGUCUGAGAGGACGAUCAGCCACACUGGGACUGAGACACGGCCCAGACUCCUACGGGAGGCAGCAGUGGGGAAUCUUGCGCAAAUGCGGGAAACCGUGACGCAGCGACGCCGCGUGGGGGAAGAAGGCCUUCGGGUUGUAAACCUCUUUCAGGAGGGACGAAGCUACUCGGGUGAAUAGCCCAGAGGGUGACGGUACCUCCAGAAGAAGCCCCGGCUAACUACGUGCCAGCCGCCGCCGUAACAC
rnacentral:rRNA from 1 species